rnacentral:rRNA from 1 species
GACGAACCGUGCGAACGUUGUUCGGAAUCACUGGGCGUUAAAGGGCGCGUAGGCGGCUCCGAUAAGUCGGGGGUGGAAAUCCCACAGCCUUAACUGUGGAAGUGCCUUCGAUACUGGCCGUCGUCGAGCGAGGUAGGGCGGUGCGGAACUUCCGGUGGAGCGGUGAAAUGACGUAGAUAUCGGAAGGAACACCGGUGGCGAAAGCGGCGCGCUGGACCCCUUCUGGACGCUGAGGCG